CCCGGGCCCAGGGCGGGCAGACAGGCCUAAUUCCGUUCCUCUCAACCCCAAGCAGGAGGAGGCUCUCGAUGGCCAGCCACCGAGAACGUUAGCGGAAGGUCUCAGCCGCCGUGUCCGAGAGGAGGCCGGAGGCCGGACCCCACGUGCGGCGGAGGAGGAAGAAGGAAGGAAGGCCGCAGGAGGUCCUCACGGAAGAAGGCAUCAUAUACAGCCCAGGCGCCGCUGGGCUGCUCUGUGCUGGACACGGGCAGUCCACACACUAAGAUCCCUGUCUUCAUGGGACCGGGAGUCAGUAAAGUAGAAGGCAUGUGAGAAGUCACUAGAAAAAGCUGUAGGAGGACAGGAACAGCUGAAGUCCAGGGGGAAGAGGGUUUUCCCUCUGUUCUGUUUCCAAAAAGAAAGACUUACAAUCAGUGUGUGGACAACCUGUAUUUUCAAGCCACAUCAUCAGUGGCCAGGAUGCUGCUAUCAGACGCUGGCCUUGGCAAGUCAGCCUUCAUUUGGACAGGGCCCCUAUCUGCGGAGGGUCCCUCAUCAGUAAGAACUGGAUACUGACCGCCGCACACUGCCUACCAAAGUGCUGUCCCUCAGCUCUUCAGCUCAAGGACCUCAGCUUAUUCAUACACUGUUUGGCUGGGAUCCCUUAAAGCAGAUGCCUCAAAUAAAGGCAAGGUAUACUAUGUGUCCCGAAUCAUCGUCCACCCCAAAUACGAUGGCUCAAAUGCAGACAUUGCCUUGCUCAGACUGUCCUCCCAAGUCACCUUCUCUGCGGAGAUCCUACCCAUCUGCCUGCCCAGUACCUCAAAGCGGCUGAAGAUCCCAGCUUCUUGUUGGGUGACUGGAUGGGGACUAGUUAAGGAGAAUGCAGGU